rnacentral:rRNA from 1 species
UACAGAGACUGCAAGCGUUAUUCGGAUUCACUGGGCGUAAAGGGGUGCGCAGGCGGUCGGGGUCAGUCGCUGGUGAAAGCCCCACGCUCAACGUGGGAAUGGCCAACGAGACGGCCCGACUGGAGGCAGGGAGAGGCCGGUGGAAUUCCGGGUGUAGUGGUGAAAUGCGUAGAGAGUCCGGGAGGAACGACCAGAGGCGAAGGCGGCCGGCUGGACCUGACCGUGACGGCGUGAG